UGGGUUUUCUGUUGUUGUCGUCCUUGUUUUGAAGCCCUCUGCACCCCAUCCACUGUCUUUCUUUCUUUUUUCCUUCCUUCCACUCACACUCCCUCCAGAGUUUGGGACUCUCUUUCCUUCGACCGACUCCUGUCAAAGGGUUUCCUCGCGGGCCGCAUCAGUCUUUUUGGGGAAGCAUCUUCCGUAAGAAGAGCCAGAAACCAUGCUGACGUUUUUGGCGCUGGCGUCGGUCGUCCUCCUGGGAAUAGUACCUGAGCAGACCCAGGGCAUAGUGAUUUACACCGGCUGGGAGCGCCACGCCCUGGUCGGCUCCGACAUCCGGCUGUCCUGUUCCUUUUUCUCCUGGCGUUGGACCUCUGAGGACGUCACCUUCUCCUGGACAUACAGGCCCGAUGGCUCCCGGGACAGCAUCUCUAUCUUCCACUACACUGGUGGUGCCGCCUACGUCGACAACAAGGGACCAUUCAGGGACCGUGUGGAGUUUGUGGGGAACCCCGGCCGUCGUGAUGGCUCCAUCCUGAUCAAGAACCUGGAUUUCAGCGACAACGGCACCUUCACCUGCGACGCAAAGAACCCACCUGACAUAGUGGGCCGGCCCUCCAGCGUCCGCCUGCUGGUCUUUGAGAAGGUGCCCAUCCAGGCUGGCGUGAUCACCGGAGCCAUCAUCGGGGUGGUGCUGGGCCUGCUGGUGCUCAUUGUGGUCAUCUACUACCUGAUGAGGUUCCUGGUGGCGCGCCGCGUCUUCAGCCUCAGUGUCAGCAAACAUGGCAAGAAAAAGAAAGAGGGCUCACAGCAGAGACAGGGCCCCGUGCCUCCCGCCGACCCCUCCAAGGUGAAGGCGGCCGCCUCGGAAAAGAAGAAGGAGUCACGCAAGGAUAAGAAAUAGGAUACGGGGAGGGGCUGGGGCGGGCUCGCCGGCAGGCUGCUCCAGCCCGUGCGGCAAGCGGUGGCGAAGGCCCAGCCCAAGCAGCAACAGCGAACCAUAGUUAGAAAGACAGAGAAGGUGGUGGGAGGAGGGGAGGAUGGCUCGGGCCGGGUGCUGAUGACCAUCGAGCUGGAGCUGGCCCGCAAAAACGGGGAGGAGAGGCCCGGUGGUCGGGGAGAGAUAAGGAGGUCCAAACCGCUUGGCUUCCUCUCCCAGCUCGCCGACCAGCUCACCUUCAAAUAAAGGUCUGACUUCUCCAUGACUGCCUCCACUCCUCUAGUCUGCUCCCUCCUUUUCUGCCCAGCCUGAUGCAACCCCCAUUGUUUCCCAUUAUCUCUACUCUUUCAAGACAGCACUGGCUGUAAGAAUAGUCCCACUAUAUCAGCGGCAACGGUGUCAAAUAAUUUUUACGGCGUCUCAUCGGAAAAGGCCCCUGUAUGCACUCAUUGGGCAAACUGUAAAACGGUUUAAGGCCUAACUACGAUCAUAACAUCCUUAAGAGGAACCCGAAAGACAUCUCUCUGUGUUUAGAGCCCCCUGAAUCUUCCCCCCCCCCUCCACCUUUUAAUGUUUACGACUCGAUGGCACACACUGAGCGGAGCUGUGAGUGCACUCUGGACUUCAGAUAGAGAAAAAAGCGAGACAGAGAAGGAGAGGAGAGUGAUAGUGGGGAGAGAAAUAUGAUUCCUGCUCUCAGCCGGCGUAGAUAGAGGUCCAAGCCCUCGAGCUCGGGGUGAUUCAAUCCUCUCACAUUUGAGCUAAUGGAGGUUGUCGCCGUGUCCCUGCCCUGGCUAAAGGGGAAGGGGUGGGUGGGGGGGGACUAUUUCUGGCCCUAUAAGAGCGCACAGGCUUACUGUAACAGCUGCACAUUUUUCAGCCAACAGGGGGUUUGGUUGGAGGGGCGGUGUGUGGGUUUCUUUUGGAAAGGGAAGCCCGCCCGCCGUGCUGUUUGAGCACGAGGCUGUCCGCUUGUUUGACUUCGACGGCCGGCGACUGACGACCUGGAAUGACGUCACGGCCCCCACGAGGGCUUUGGCGGACGCUCUCAGGAGUCCGACAAAAAAAGGGGCUUACCGGGAAGAAGGUGCAGCUCCCGUGCUCUCUCUCUCUCGAGUUAUUUUAGGUGCGGUUAAUCCGCCCCACACGUUCCUCCUCGCCAACCUCAGGGCUAAUUAUUUUAGCACGUGCUGGUAAUGAGAUAUCUCUCUCGACAUCUUCCGCUCUCCGUCGCUGCCUCCUCUGCUGUCUCCUGUUUAUUCAUCUCUGCCUGCCAUCCCAUCUUGGGAUUCAUCUUCACCUCUUACAAACUGUCUCUGUCUCUCUCUGUCCUCACGUCUUUGGCUUUCAUUAUCUCUUCCUCUUCUUGUCGUCUAGUGACUCUCGCACUGCAUUAUUCCCCCCACACACAGUAAAAAGGCCUAUACACAAUCCACUCCACUCUUUAAGCCUCUCCUUAUCUGACCGCCAGGCCUACAGCUCAAUGCUCUGCUCCUUCUCUGCUCUCUCUCUUCUGUCCUUCCUUCUCCUCCUCCUCCUCGUUCUUCUUCUCGGAGACAGACAUCUCUCUCCCCUCCCUCGGUCUUGCCCAAUGAUCGACGAACGCCCUCUCGCUUGCCCUUCAAAGCGACAAAAAAAAAAAAAAGCCACCUCCCUCCAUCGAAGGCACGGUCCCCUUGCCAGCCCGCCUUCCCCUUUCUUCGUCCUCCGACCCCUUUACUGUCUUUUUUUCUGCUGGUUCGAACGCCAAAAUGCUUUCCUCUGCCCCCCAAAACCCGGCAAAGGAAGGAAACACAUGGCCAGAAAUCCGCCUUUAGUCGUCACUGAAGACGCCAAACAGAAACUUAUAAUCUAGCUAGCUCUCUUCCGGUCGCAAAUACGACGCGUGUUUUAUGUAUAUGUGUGUCUUGUUAAAAAUUAGAUUUGAUAUAUAGCAAAAAAAAAACAAACGGUGUCACCCUAAGUAAAGCAAAUAAUGUUUUCUGUGGCAUUUUGUUUUUACACGUGUGCACGUGUAAGAAGAUGUUUAUCGAGGCGGGGUGAGAAAUGUAAUUGUAUUCGAUGGAAUAUGUCAUUAUAUUUCUGACCUUGUGUGUUAUUGAAGGUACUGUGUGGCUGUCUCUACGGUGCACGUUUUUAUUCCGAGACGAAGGGAAAUCGAGGUUGUCGCGCGGGUGUCAGGAGAGGAGAUGAGGGGUGGAUAAGGGUUCGGUUAGCCUCGGAUUCAGCGAGAUGUGGCAGGGGAGAAAGAAAGAAAGAAAAAAACAAGGGGAGGAAGGUGUUUGCUGUGGGAGAAAGCUGUGGAGGAAGAGACUUAUCUGGCGUGUUAAGCCAAGCCAAAAAUCCAUAUGUAUCACAACAGAUAGAGCCCGCUCUUCCCCCAGAGCGUUCUUUUAAAGGUGCUCCUUCCCCAACCCUGAGCCAAAGAUGGAUUGCGAUCUGCGUGCUUGAUAUGCAGGGUGGAUAGUAGACUUGAAUGCUCCUUUUUUCAAAUUCAUAACUGGAAUGGAGGUGCUAAAAUCCACGUCUUUAUAUCUGUUUCACGAGUCGCUGUUUUAACUAAUCCGGUCGAAUGGAUCAGUUAGAAAAUGUCUUCUUCUUUUUCCUGCAAAAGCCACACAGACACCUGACGUAAGACAGACAGCAUUAAAAUGCCUUUUAAAAAAAGAUGUUUUGUAUGUAUUAUGAACUGUAUUAGUCAUAGUUGCACAAUAACCCCGUCCUUUAUUUGAAAUGACUGGAGCUUCUUACAUUUUUUUACAUUUAUUUUAAUGCUUGUGAUCAUUCCAGAGCACUAACCACUUUUCAUGACUCUGUAUAAUAUGUUGUAAAGAGAAAGUAAAUAAAAAUAAAAAGCCCCCAAGCGCAGCUGUCGUCGACAGAAGACAAAGUUAAACCCCA